CUUGUUCUUGAGCCUGCUUUUGCAGCCAAGAAAGGACACAAGACCCUUAAGGUCAAAUCCACCAAGCACAUUGCCCCAGCAAGUGCACCUUUUCCUUCUGCUAUUCAAACAGAACAAGCUUUGAUCCAACAACUAUGCCAGGAUACAAGGAAAUCCAAAUUGUGCCGCAAAAUUGUUCAAGGUGAAAGGGUAGCUUUAGAACCAGUCGCUGAGGCCAAGAUUGCCAUUGAUAUUGCCACAUCCAUGGCAUCAAGGGUUGGUGCAUACAUGUCAACCCAACUUAAAACAAACCGUGUUAAGAUUCUUUCAAGAGGGUUUGUGAAAGUUUGCAAGUUCAAUUAUGACAAUGCAAUUGUUGACUUGAACCUUUCAUACAUUAACUUUGAAUCCAACACCAAGAAAGCCAUUGAGAGUCUCAAACAAGCUGAGAUUAAGAUUGGAUUCUGUGUUAAUUCUUUGAAAUCAGCAAGUAAAAAUGCUGAAAUUCCACCAGUUCAUGAAGCCAACAAAGUGAUUCAGAGUUUGAUAAAGGCAGCAGAAUCUGUUGCUAAGAAACAAACACACUAAGCAACAUAUAGCCAGUAUGUGUGUCCAUUUUGCCUUUUAUUUGAGAGAUGUGGAACAUGUUUUUGUUUCUCUUUUUCUGAAUUUUGGUUACAGAAACAAGUUCUUUUUUUUGUACUCUUAUUAAUGUAUUGUUAUCAUAAAACAAUUUUAAUGAAGGGACACAGUUUACAAUAAUUAGAUUAUGUCUGUGUUUACAUAGGGUAAAGAUUAUUUGCUUCGAGAUAUAUUUGAUUUUAGUUUCUUAUUUAAUUUUAUCAACAUAAUUUAAGAAAUUAAUAAAUAAUAUAAAAAUAAAAUAUAAUUUGACUAAAGUAUCUUAUUAAAUUUUCACAUAUUUCUACACAUAACUUUUCGUCAUAAAGUCAACCCAAACUACAACUAAUUGAAACAAACUUGGAAUAGAAGUUAUUAAGAGAACGCUGAAGAAAGAUUAUUACAUUGCAAAGUGGAGAAAAAUAGGGAAGAUAUAGUUGCAUCCCAAUUUCACUAUUUAUAUUAAAAAAAAUCUAAAGAGUAUUAUAUUUACAAAUGAAUAAAAAUUUGAAAUAAAAUUUAUAAAUAAUUAUUAAAUUAGGCAGGAAAAGGCAUUAAAUAAAUAAGGUUGAUUGAAAAUAUAUAUAUAAUUUAUCCCUCGUGAUUGACAUUAUAAGUGAUGCAUGUAAGCUUAGGUGUGUUGCUUUGAGUUUUUCGCUUUUAAACUUUGAUUCUGUGCAGUUGUGAAGGUUUACUAGCGUUAAUAAAAUGAUUAUCUGGUUGUGUUAAAUAAUGGGUUUAUUAAUUCUCACUGCAAUUUCCGUAAGCAUGUUAUAAUGAACUAUUAGUUUUCUCAUUAAAAGCAAAACUUUGUGGUCGGAAUGAGUGGGAAAUCAAAUAGUGAAAUAGUAUAGAGAAAAGAGAAUAACAUAGCGGAUUUGGUAACAAUGUUCAACCAAUGUGCUUACGUCUCUGGGAACAUUGAGAGACUUUCACUAUGUAUUAUUAUUAGAGAAUAAAGAUUUGUGUUUAACUAUUUUUCUGCUUGUUACAUUAGGUUUACAUAACAUAUAUAUAUAUAUAUGACACUCUACCUCAUCCCUUUUACAUCAGCCCAAUUGCAUAACUUGUAUUGCUAUUAUCUAGAGAAUAUAAGUCAUAGCACAACAAUUUCCACUUCGGCGAAUAUCAUCAAUCUCCAUCUUCCGUUGUUGGGUUGGGGGUUCUCAAUAGUCUAACAUCAAUGAAUGUUCAACAAAUUCACACAAUGCCUGAACUUGUCCACGAUAACCGACUUGGUUAAUAUAUCAGCUGAAUUUUCUCAAGUGUGAAUCUUCUACAAUAAUAUAUUUCCACAAGCUACCAACUCUCUGAUCUUGUGAAAUCUCACAUCAAUAUGUUUGGCCCUAGCAUCACAGACAUGGUUCUUCACCAAUAAGAUAACACUCAUACUGUCACAAUGCAGCAGAACUCUACCUUGCUCAAUGUUUAAUUCAUUUACUAGUUCCAUAAGCCAUAGGGCAUCAUUAGAAGCAUCACCAACUGUCAUGUACUCUACUUCAACUGCAAACAUAGCAACAACAUACUGAGUUGAUGAUCUCCACAUAAUUGGUCCACCUACAAGGGUGAAGACAAACUCUGUUGUGGACCUUCUAUCAUCCAACUCUCCUACAUAGUCUAAAUCGACAUAACCAAUAAUUGAAGGCUUACUCUAUUGACUGCCAAACAUGAUAUCUAUACAUGUAGUCCCCUUCAAAUAUCUGAAAGUCCAUUUGACUACUUCCCAAUGUUGCUUCCCUAUUUUAGACAUGUACUUACAUACUUGAUUAACUGUUUGUGCCAAGUUCGAUCUAGUACAAACUAUAGGAUACAUCAAGCAACCCACUACACUGGUAUAUGGAACCUUUGACAUCUACUUCUUCUCUUCAUUUUUCUUUGGACACUGAUCUAGGGAAAUCCUGCAGUGGUUUGCCAAUAGAGUGCUUACUACUUUAACAUUGCUCAUAUCAAAUCUUUCUAUGAUCUUUUCAACAUAGCUUUGUUGGGAGAGCCAUAGUUUUCUAGCUCCCCUAUCCCUGUGAAUCUCCAUCUCGAGAACCUUCCUACAAGCCCCUAAAUCUUUCAUGUCAAACUCCUUACCUAGUAUGAUUUUCAGCUCAUUGAUAUCACUCAAAUGAUUAGUUGCAAUCAACAUAUCAUCAAUAUAAAGUAGCAGAAAAUAAAAGAACCAUCAUCAAGGCUUCUCACAUUAACACAACAAGCAUACUCACAUUGUUUGUUACUAAACUUCAACAUAUAAGUGCCAAACCGCUUGUACCAUUAUUUGGGAGACUGCUUCAACCCAUAUAGAGACUUCUUUAACUUGCAAACCACGUGUUUCUGUCCAACUGCACUAAACCCUUCUGGUUAUGUCAUGUAAAUUUUCUCCUCUAAUUCACAAUAGAGAAAGGCAAUCUUCACAUUCAUUUGUUCUAAGUGCAUAGCCCAACUGGCUACCAUGGCAAGCAUUGUCCUGAUAGAAGUGCGCCCACCAUUGGAGAGAAAAUCACAUUGUAGUUGAUCCCCUUCUACUAUGAAUAUUUUUGCUAUGAGAUGAGCCUUGGAUUUUCCCCCUUCUUUUUAUGAUAUUGUUGGCUUCCUCUUGUACACCCACUUGCCCCUAACUGCAUACUUGCUAGGGAGCAAUGGGACAAGCUCCCAAGUUUGGUUCUUGUGUAGAGACUCCAUCAUGACACUCAUCCAUUGUUCUUUCUCUUGGCUAUUUAUAGCCUAUCAAAAGCUGCAUGGAUCUCCUGAACUGAUAUAGAGAGAAACUGGAGUCAUAUCCUCAAAACCAUAGCUAUAUGGACGUUUUAUAGGACGUCUAUCCCUGCCUCUAUCAAGUAGAUACUCCUACACACCUGAACUCUCCGCCUGAUCAUCAUGUUCUUGACUUGAACUAGUGCAUGAUUCCUUCCCUUUAUUCACAUGAACCAUUUCAUUGCUAACUGGAGUCAUAUUUGAUCUUAAAGUCUCUCCAUUUGGCCUAGACACCUCUGUUAAAACUAACUGUUUCAGCAUGAAAUCUUCAUCAAACACUACAUUUCUACUCAACACCACUUUUCUGGAAAUUGGAUCCCAGAACUUAAACCCCUUCACACAUUUGGUAUAUCCAAUGAAAAUACACCUCUUUGAUUUGGGGUCAAGAUUAGAUCGUUCAUCACUAGGUACAUGUACAUAAGCAGGACAACCAAAUAUGCAUAACAUAUUAUAAUUGACUGGAUUACCUAUUCAUACUUUUUCUAAAACUUUACCACGCAAUGAAGUUUGUGGUGUCUAUUGAUAACAUAACAUGUCAUACUAAGUGCCUCUUCCUAAAAUCCUUUGGAAAUUCCAACAUUCAGUCUCAUACAUUUGGCCCUCUCUAUAAGAGUUUUAGUCAUCAUCUUUGCAACACCAUUCUGUUGAUGAGUCUUCUUCGCUGAAAAGUGGCUCUAAAUGCCAUGUUCCUCAGAGAAUUUCUGAAAUUGUGAGUCUUUGUACUUCAUACCAUUGUCUAACCUCAGAUAUUUAAUUUUUCUAUCAGUCUAGUUCUCUACCUCUGCCUUCCAAACCUUGAACAUGACAAAGACUUUUGACUUAUGCUUCAGAAAAUAUACUCAAACCUUAUGAGAAAAGUCAUCAACGAAGGUAGCAAAGUACCUAGAACCUCCUAGGGAUGGUUCUUGAGUGAGUCUCCAUACAUCAAUGUGGACAUAGUCUAGAAUGCCCCAAGUCCUGUGUUGGUCAGCCUUGAAACAAGGGGUGACAAUUGAAUGAAUUUGGGUGGAUAUGGAUCAUAAUGGAUGGAUAUGGAUUUGGAUCAUAAUUGAUGGAUGGAAAGUCAUCCACCAAUCCAUAUGAAUCCAUAAAAUCACAUUUCUAAGUUAUCCAAUCCAUCCAUAUCCAAUGGAUUCCAAUUCAUCCAUAUAUCCAUUUUAAUGGAUUGGAUGGAUGUGUAUCCAAUCCAGUUUUGUUAAUAUGAACUAAAGCAUUUUUUGAAGGAUAAAAGUCAUUUUAAUAUUAUUAUUUAAUAGUAUUUUUAAAAUCAAUUUACAAACAUUUUUAAAAUAUGUUUUUUUAAAUGUGUUUGUUUAAAUGUAUUCUUUUUAAAACACUUUUUAAAAAAUCUCAAUAUUUAAAUUUACAUGUGAAAGCUCUGAAAGACAACAGUCUAGGUGAGGUUAGAGACACUAUAUUAUGUAAUCAUGCAUUUUUUUCUUGUGCUCGAUAAUGACACAAAAUGUUAUAUAUAUCCUUAUUGAAACUUUUUGAUAGAAUGAUUUGAAUCGAUCUCAAUAUCGCUACGAUACAUCAUUUAUAACGGCCAUAAAAUUAUAUUGAUAAAAAUCGGUCAUACUGACCGAUUUUCAAUUGAACAGUACCAGUCAUAUCGACCGAUUUUCAAUUAAAUCGUACUGAUCAUAUCGGCUGUUUCAUUUAAACUUAUUAUUUUUAAAGAAAAUGAUUUAUUUUUACCAAAAUAUUUGUAUAGAUAAUCAAACACACAACAACUAUAUUUUUUAUACAUUAAAACAUGGUCUAGAGUAUAGAUUUUUUAACAAGUAGUAUAAAUUAAAAUAGUUAUUGUCUUCUUUAUUGAUUUUUCAACAUUAAUAUUAGUCUAAAAUAUAUGAAUAUCUAUCUGGUUUAAUAGUGAACGACUAGUUGAACCAUCAUACAAUAUACCACUACUCUGACCGGAUUGAUGACCGGUAUGGUAUUAAUAAUAUUGGUUUAUAUUUUGCACAUUGGGAUUGCAUAGCAAUGUUGGGUCUGCAUGUUGCUUUACGGGAAAAAAAUUAUUUUUAUGUUUUGGAUGGAUAUACAUGUGGAUAUUCAUUGGAUAUAAUGCACGAAUUUGAAUUCAUCCAUUAUCAAAUUAUCUAUUAGAUUAUAUCCAUUUAAAUCUAUUGGCUCCAACGGAUGAAUUUGGAUAGAUUGUGGAUAGUGGAUAAUUUUACCACCUCUACUUGAAACUAACUUGUAUAUGUUUCUCAAACACACAAUACUUGCACAAACCAAGCUUGUAUUCGCUGACUGUCCUAAACAGUCCAUUUUUGCAUAUUCUAUCAUAUCACACACACUAAUAUGACCUAAACGCAUAUGCCAUAAUUUUGUAGUAUGGUGGAAAUUUACUGAAAUCUCUUCGACCACUCCAGCAACUCAACCUACAAUUGUUCUCCCUAACACCUUGUAGGUUUUCCCAGCAUUCCUCUUAUCCUUCAUCACAGUUAGAGCACCUUUGCAUACUCGAAGAAUAUCAUUGUCCACAUAUGCCCUAUAGCUAAAUCCUUUGACCUGCAAUGUCCCCAAAGAAAUCAAAUUCUUUUUCAAAUCUGGUAUGUCCCUAACCUCACAUAACGUCUUUACUACACCAUCAUCCAUCACAAUUCUAAUUUCUCCCAUAUCAAUAAUUACAUAUGCUUUAGUAUUUAUGAGAUACACAAAACCAAAAUUGUAUACCCUGUAUAUGGUGAACCAUUCUCUGUUUGGCGUCAUAUGGUGGGAAUAACCAGUGUCAAGUAUCUACUCAUUUGCACUAUUAUUUGAUGAUACAGAUAGUUGAUCAACUUCACUAAUGUAAUCAGAGUCAUCUUUCAGUGCAACAUUUGAAAAUGUAGAUACUUCAUCUUUCCCCACUAGCUUGUUAGGACUACAUUCAUUGGGACAAUCCUUUUUUAAUGUCCAAUUUGUUGGCACUUAUAGCACUUUACUAGUGUUCUGUCCCUAGAAUUUGGUCUUUUCACUUUGGUAGGACCUCCUCUUCCUUGUCUCCUCCCACGCGCAUGGCUCCUUUUCACAUACAGACCAUCACCUUGAGACCCUUCUCCUACAUUUUGUUUUCUUUGAGUGUGAGACAGAAGUAUAGAUGUGAUCUCAUCUAGUUUGAUUGAGUAUUUCCCAUAUGUCAAUGUUGUGAGCAAUUGUUCAUAGGAAUUUGGCGAAUAACACAAUAAUAUUAUUGCUUUGUCCUUAUCAUCAACUUUCAUAUCAAGUUUCAGCAAGUCAUUGAUCAAUUGAUUAAAAGUAUUGAAAUGUUGUUUCAAAUCAGCACACUCCUGCAUCAUUAACCCAUAAAGUCUCUGUUUUCAAAUACACCUUAUUUGUUAGAUACUUGAACAUGAAUCGCUUCUCUAAUGUCUCACAUACAUCUAUUGGUGACGUCAAAUCCAUAACAUGAUACACCACCUCAUCUUGUAGACAAAGCCAUAUGGUUCCCACAUCGUUCUCCUUAAACUCUUCCAAAUCCAGUUGAUCCAUACCAUCUGGUUUAUUCCCACGCAACGCCUUUGAUAGAUAUUGUUGAGCGAACACAUCUUUAACCCUCCUUUGCCACAAUCAGAAAUUACCAGUUCAAUCAAAGUUCCCCACCUCGAAUUUGGCACCUGAGUUAAGGGUCAUACGACACCAAUUAUUGGAAACCAGCGAGUAAUCAAAUAGUAAAAUAGUAUAGAGAAAAGAGAAUAACACAAGGGAUUUAGUAACGAGGUUCGGCUAGUUGCGCUACGUCCUCGGGAGUGUUGAGAGACUACCAUAUUGUGUUAUUAGAGAAUAAAGAUUUGUGUUUGACAAUUCUUCUCUUUGUUACAUAAGGUUUACAUAACAUAAAUAUAUAGUCAUCUACCCUAACCCUUUAUAUCAGCCCAAACCCAUAACUUGUAUUGUUGUUAUCUAGAGAAUAUGAGUCAUUGCAAAACAUUUUGAUAUAAGUUUUUUUAAUAAAAUGGACAAUCAGAUAAGUAGAAUUGCUUAAAUUCAAUGUUUAUAACUUCUCUUCCUGUGAUGAUAGAUAAUUAGAAUAAGUUUAAUUUGUCAAAGAAUUGUGUAUUUUAAGUAGUUUAAUACUCACUACUUUGACUUUUAGGUUUGAGAAAUCUGUGAUUUUUACUGCAAUGAUGUAUAUAUAUUGCCUGCUAUUAGUUAUAUCAUAAAAGUAAAUUACACUGACAUCUCAUGAGUUUUACUGAAAUUAUAUAAAACACUAAUCCAUUUUUUAAACAUACACAAACUAUCCAUAAUUAUAUAUAUACAUUAUAUUGAUUACCUCUGUAUGAGAUAUAAGUAUAAUUUCUUAAACAAAAAAUGGUAAUGAUUGUAAUUAAGUUAAACAAAAUAUGGUAUAUUGUGAAGACAAGUCCAAAUAGUAUAAGAGUCAAUGUCUAUUCAUUAUUUUGGUUAGUUACAUAUAGUAUAAGAGAUUUAAACCUUUCAUUAAAAUUAUUGAUGCAAUUUGUAAUUAACCGAAAAUAAUGAAUAUAUAUUGACUCUUAUACUAUUUGGAUUUUUCGUCAUGAUAUACCAUAUUUUGUUUGAUUUAAUUAAUGAAUAAUGAAUUUAUAUUGACUCUUAUACUAUUUGGUUUUGUCUUCAUGAUAUACCAUAUUUUGUUUGACUUAAUUAAUGAAUAUAUAUCGACUCUUAUACUACCGGAUAAACAAUGCAAUGUAUAUAUAUAAUUAGGGGUGGUUUGUGUAGGUUUAAAAAAUGAUUAAUGAUUUAUGUAAUUUCACUAAAACUCGUGGGAUACUAGUGUGAUUUACUCUAAAUUAAUCUUGUACCAAAAAAGCCUAUAGAGUAAACUGUAAAGUAAUUUAUAAGAGAUCUUAGUGCCUUUCGCUACAGUUUUUGUUCAUAGGUUAAGGUUAGAAAUUCAUAAUUUCUAAUUAAGUUGAUCAUCAUAUAUUUAAUACACUUAUAUCGACUAUUUAUUUUGGGUACAAAACAUGUUAUCUAAUUGUGACAACCCAUUGGAAUUCUAAAGCUGAUAACAAUUAUAAAUUUAAUAAGUGGAUACUGAAAUGAUUGACCUAAAUGAGAUAAUGAGAAACUUAUAAUUUAAUGCAUAAGGAACAGUUAUGGUCUCCAUGAAACUAAAUCGCAAGUAGUUUUCACAUUUCCCCGUUAGAGAGAAAACAAAGGUCCCAAAAAGAAUUCAGGAUUUGGUUGAGGAAGAUCAUCAUAACAAAACUCUCUCCAAAGGCAUACAAAAUGAAUAGAUGUGAGAAACAUGGAUUGAUGUAUGAUUUUGUAUCCUUAUUUUAUAUUAUGUUUGAGAAUCAUGAUAAUUAAAAUCCUAGUAUAGGUAUUUCGCCAAAGGAAAAUGUGACAAGUGGUAUCAGAGCGUAGAUUCUAAAUUUUAUGAUUCUCUAUAAAGGGUGUCUUUCCAAAUUUUGUAUGAACCCUAAUUUUAAUUUGGAGAUUUUAUGCUUACACUAUCAUAUUAUAAAGAUUGAUAAUUUUAAAUUGAUUAUUUCCGUUAGGAAUGUUUUAUUUUGUGUGAUAAAUAUACACACAUAAUAAAAUAAUGUAAUCAUAUGAAUGAUGUUGUUAGUUUGAUUUUUGUUCAUACAUCAAAGAAAUUGUAUCAUGAAGUUAAUGUGAUGAUCAGAACUUACUCUUCCAAUUUUUUUACCUUGACAUGUAUACGAUCUACAAUAUUACAUAAUCUAUAUUCGUACAUUAUGAUGUUUUAAUUAUAUAUCUUAUCCAUCAUAUUUGUAGCUUGCCUAGUGAUUGAUUUAGAAUUUCAUUGAUGCGUUAUUCAUUAAUCAAUAAUAUACCCAUAUAUAGUUGUAUUAUGCAUAUACAUAUUACCAGAGGCGGAUCUUUGUUGAAGUAGGUGGGGGCAACUCCCCUGAAUAUUUUUUUUUGUGAGAAAACUUGUAUUCUUGGGAAGAUGCUGCAACACUUGAACAAACAAAUGAUUGAUGGAUAUGCACGUAAAAUCUCCAAAGCGUGUGUUACCAUACUAACCUUUAGGUUCGAUUCGCCCCCACCAAUUUAUGUAUAUUGGAUGCAAAUGGAAUGAACAGUGAAUCCUUUUCAGGAUACUUUGGAAAACCUUGAUAUGUUUUGCACAAACACAACAAGCGUAUCUUUCAACAAUAGUUUACAAACUUACGUUUCCUACACUUCUCUCAUGCAUUAGAGAAAUGGAGGAUGAUUUCUUGGAUGAGAAAAUUCGGAUGGUGAUUAUGAUUUCAAAUGUCUCUAUUUAUAGAGAAGUUCAUAUCACUUGAGGGAAAGAAGUGCCUUUAGAGUGCUGUACGCGUAAACGAAAGGUUAUGUAGUGUAACGGUUCAAUAAAUAACUGAAUAGGCGUGAUAGCCUAGCAGUAGCAACAAUGCUUUGUUAAGUUGUGUGUCCUUGGUUCGAAUCUUAACGGAUGCAUCUCUUCAUUUUUAUUUCUACGCAUUAAAUAAAAACGUGAAAUCAAAAUCAUUCCCAAUCCCCCACCAUUUUAAGUUCAUUGCCUAAAGGUGCAACCACUAAACCAAAGGACAUCUUCAUAGAUAAAUCAUUCACAAUAUUUAUAUAUUCAACCGUGAAUUCUGAUAUUUUGUAAAUAUCAUUCACAAUCCCCCACCAUUUUCAAAAUAUAAGAAAUCUCAUAAAUUUGGAAAUAUCAUGGUUUCAGAUAAUGGUAUAUUACGAUUUGAACCAUUACUUAAUAAGUUAUGGGUUCCACUUACUCCGAAUAGAAAUUGGUAGACAAGCUUUGAACCACCUAUUCAUUAGAAUAAGCGUGCACAACUCACACAUGAAAUCUCGGUAUUAUUGAAAGAAUUAUAAAUAUUACACAUUUGAUAAGGCCUUGUGUCAUGUAUCCUUUUCAUGAGAAUUUAAGAGUAAAGCCCUUUAACUCUAUGAAGCGGCCAACUUCAUUCUCAUAUAGGUAGACUAUAUCGGGAAUGCACCGAUAAUAAGCAUUCCAGCAAAUUUUUGCUAUAUGUCUAUUAAGAGUAAAACUCAACCUUCCAACUUUGUUCUUAUGGUCCAAGUACUUUUAUCACUUAGGAUGUGUCUAUAGUCAAGUACUUGCAAUCACUCUAUAUUAUUUUCCAUCAUUGAACUCAAAACUUGGUGCUACUCAAGUGUGAGUUGAGUUAACACUAUUGGUGAUCAAUUAGACAUGGGCUUGAGUCCCAUCCCCAAUGAUGUUUUCAACACCAUAUCUUUUGUCAGACCUUUCGUCAAAGGAUCUCCAAGAUUCUUUUCAGUUCUAACGAACACUAUGGAGAUUACUCUGUUUGCAAUUUAUUCCUUUACAUAGCUAUGUCUUAAACCAAUAUGUCUGGAUUUUCCAUUAUACACUUGGUUGUAUGCUUUUGAUAGCGUAGACUGACUAUCACAAUGUAUAGAUACUGGUGUCAUUGGCUUUGGCCAAAUAGGUAUCUCAUACAAUAAGUUUCUUAGCCAUUCAGAGCAAUAAAUUCUGCAGCCAUGGUGGAUUCGUCUAUGCAAGUUUGUUUCUUUGAACUCCAAGAAACCGCACCUCCACCAAGGUUGAAGAUCCAUCCACUUGUAGAAGCGUGAUCUUCAACAUAAGUUACCCAACUAGCAUGUGUAUAUCCUUCCAAAACUGAAGGAUGUCCAUUAUAGGUUAAAUUAUAGUUAAUUGUUCCUUUUUAAGCUGUGUGUCCUUGGUUCGAAUCUCAACAGAUGCAUCUCUUCAUUUUUAUUUCUACGCAUUAAAUAAAAACUUGAACUCAAAAUGAUGAAGCAAAGGAUGGAACUCACAACUGUCAGUUCAUUGCCUAAAGGUGCAAUCACUAAACCAAAGGACAUCUUCAUAGAUAAAUCGUUCACAAUAUUUAUAUACUAAACUGUGAAUUCUGAUAUUUUGUAAAUAUCAUUCACAUUUUUUUCUUCCAAUUUUUAAAACUUUUUUUUACUAAGUGUCUCCAAUAUUUAGUCUCAAACAUCUAGCCCUCUCUAUAAGAGUUCUAUUCAUCAUCUUUAUAACAACAUUCUGAUGAGGAGUCUUCUUCACUGAAAAGUGCCUCUAAAUGCCAUGUUCGUCACAUAACUUCUAAAAUUGUGAGUCUUUGUACUUCAUACCAUUGUCUGACCUUGGGUUUAUGACUUUUCUAGCAGUCUAGUUCUCUACCUCUGUCUUCCAAACCUCGAACUUGACAAAGACUUUUGACUUAUGCUUUAGAAAAUAUACCCAAAUCUUAUGAGAAAAGUCAUCAACGAAACUAACAAAGUACCUAGAACCUCCUAGGGAUGGUUCUUGAGUGGUCUCCAUACAUCAGUGUGGACAUAGUGUAGAAUGCCAUGAGUCCUAUGUUGGUCAGCCUUGAAAUUAGGGGUGGCAAUUGAAUGGAUUUGGAUGAAUAUGGAUUUGGAUCAUAAUGGAUGGAUGAAAAGUCAUCCACCAAUCCAUAUAAAUCCAUAAAAUCACAUUUCUAAAUUAUCCAAUCCAUAAUGGAUGGAUGAAUUUCAUUAUUGCAUGUUGCUUUAUGGGAAAAAAUAUUUUUGUUUUUAUUUUUUUUGGGUGGAUUGGAUAUCCAUCCAAAUGGAUAUACCUGUGGAUAUUCAUUGAAUAUAAUGCAUGAAUUUGAAUACAUUCAUUAUCAACAGUAUCUAUUGGAUUAUAUCCAUUUAAAUCUAUUUGCUCUAACGGAUGAAUUUGGAUAGAUUUAAUUUGGAUGGAUUGUGGAUAAUAUUGCCACCUCUACUUGAAACUAACUUGUAUUUAUUUCCCAAGCAUACAAUACUUGCACAAACCUAGAUUGUAUUUUGUGACUCUCCUAAACAUUCUUUUUUUUUUUGCAUAAUUCUAUCAUGCCACGCACACUAAUAUGACCCAAACGCAUGUGCCAUAAUUUUGUAGUAUCAUGGCCUAAAUAUAUUGAAAUCUCUUCGGCCACUCCAGCAACUCAACCUACAAUUUUUCUCCCUAACAUCUUAUAAGUGUUCCCAACAUUCCUCUUACCCUUCAUCACAGUUAGAGCACCUUUGCAUACUCGAAGAAUAUCAUUGUCCACAUAUGCUCUAUAGCUAAAUCCGUUGGUCUGCAAUGUUCCCGAAGAAAUCAAAUUCGUUUUCAAAUCUGGUAUGUGUCUACCCACACAUAACGUCUUCACUACACCAUCAUUCAUCAAAAUUCUGAUUUCUCUCAUGCCAAUAAUUCCAUAUGCUUUACUAUUUAUGAGAUACACAAAACCAAAAUUGUAUACAUUGUAUAUGGUGAACCAUUCUCAGCUUGGCGUCAUGUGGUGGGAAUAAACAAUGUCAAGUAUCUACUCAUUUGCACUUUGAUUUGAUGAUACAGAUAGUAGAUCAACUUCACUGUUGUAACCACAGUCAUCUUUCAGUACAAAAUUUCCAAAUGUAGAUACUUCAUCUUUCCCCACUAGCUUGUUAGGACUCCAUUCAUUGGGACAAUCCUUUUUUUAAUGUCCAGUUUGUUUGCACUUAUAGCACUAUACUAGUGUUCUGUCCCUAGAAUUUCCUUUGGCAGGACCUCCUCUACCUUGUCUCCUCCCACGCGCAUGACUCCUUUUCACAUACAAACAUCACCUUGAGACCCUUCUCCUCCAUUCUGUUUUCUUUGAGAGUGAGACAAAAGUAUAGAUGUGAUCUCAUCUAUUUUGAUUGGGUCUUUCUCGUAUGUGAAUGUUGCCACCAAGUAUUCAUAGGAAUUUGGCAAAGAACAUAGUAAUAUUAUUGCUUUGUCCUCGUCAUCAACCUUCAUAUCAAGUUUCAACAAGUCAUUAAUCACUUGAUUAAAAGUGCUGAAAUGUUGUUGAAAAUCAGCACCCUCCUGCAUUAUCAGGUCAAAAAGUCUCUGCUUCAAAUACAACUUAUUUGUUAGAGACUUGGACAUGAACCGCUUCUCUAAUGUCUCUUAUACCUCUAUUGGUGAUGUCAAAUCCGUAACAUGAGACAUCACUGCAUCUGAUAGACAAAGUCAUAUGGUUCCCACAGCCUUCUCCUUAAACUCUUCCAAAUUCAGUUGAUCCAUACCAUAUGGUUUAUUCCCACGCAACACAUUUGAUAGACCUUGUUGAGCGAACACAUCUUUAAUCCUUCUUUGCCAUAAUCAAUAAUUACCAGUUCCAUCAAACUUGCCCACCUCGAAUUUGGCACCUGAGUUAAGGGAUAUUAGUUAUAUCAUAAAAAAAUAUAAAUUUAAAAUCAUAAUAUAUUUUGUCUUAGUGUUUAAUAUGUUGGAAUAGUCUAUAUACUAAAGAGUAGAUUACGCUGAUAUCUCAUGAGUUUCAGUGAAAUUAUACAAAACACUAAUCCAUUUUUUAAACAUACACAAAUUAUCCCUAAUUAUAUAUAAAUAAAUUAUAUUAACUAUCUUUGUAUGGGAAAUAAGUAUAAUUUCUUAAAUAAAAAAUUAUGAUGAUUGUAAUUAAGUUAAACAAAAUAUGGUAUAUUGUGAAAACCAGUCCAAAUAGUAUAAGAGUCAAUGUCUUUUCAUUAUUUUGGUUAGUUACAUAUACUAUAAGAGAUUUAAACAUUUUGUUCAAAUUAUUGAUGCUGUUUGUAAUUAACCGAAAAUAAUGAAUAUAUAUUGACUCUUAUACUAUUUUGUUUUGUCUUCAUAAUAUAUCAUAUUUUGUUUGACUUAAUUAAUGAAUAAUUAAUAUAUAUUGAUUCUUAUACUACUCGAAUAAACAGUGCAAUGUAUAUAUAUAAUUAAUGGUGGUUUGUGUAGGUUUAAAAAAGGAUUGAUGAUUUAUGUAAUUUCACUAAAUACUCAUAGGAUGCUAGUGAGAUUUACUCUAAAUUGAACUUGUACCAAAGUUUAAUUUGUCAAAAAAUUGUGUAUUUUAAGUAGUUUGAUACUCAUUGCUUUGACUUUUAGGUUUUAGAUAUCUGUGAUUUUUACUGCAAUGAUGUGUAUAUUUUGCCUGCUAUUAGUUAUAUCAUAAAAAAUUAUAAAUUUAAAAUCAAAAUAUAUUUUGUCUUAGUGUUUAAUAUGUUGGUAUAGUCUAUAUACUAAAGAGUAGAUUACACUGAUAUCUUAUGAGUUUCAGUGAAAUUAUACAAAACACUAAUCCAUUUUUUAAACAUACACAAAUUAUCCCUAAUUAUAUAUAAAUAAAUUAUAUUAACUAUCUUUGUAUGGGAAAUAAGUAUAAUUUCUUAAAUAAAAAAUUAUGAUGAUUGUAAUUAAGUUAAACAAAAUAUGGUAUAUUGUGAAAACCAGUCCAAAUAGUAUAAGAGUCAAUGUCUUUUCAUUAUUUUGGUUAGUUACAUAUACUAUAAGAGAUUUAAACAUUUUGUUCAAAUUAUUGAUGCAGUUUGUAAUUAACCGAAAAUAAUGAAUAUAUAUUGACUCUUAUACUAUUUUUUUUUGUCUUCUUAAUAUAUCAUAUUUUGUUUGACUUAAUUAAUGAAUAAUGAAUAUAUAUUGAUUCUUAUACUACUCGAAUAAACAGUGCAAUGUAUAUAUAUAAUUAGGGGUGGUUUAUGUAGGUUUAAAAAAGGAUUGAUGAUUUAUGUAAUUUCACUAAAUACUCAUAGGAUGCUAGUGUGAUUUACUCUAAAUUGAACUUGUACCAAAAAAAGCCUAUAGAUUAAACUGUAAAGUAAUUUAUGAGAGAUCUUGGUGCAUUUUGCUACAAUUUUUGUUCAAAGGUUAAUGUUAGAAAUUCAUAAUUUCUAAUUAAGUUGAUCAUCAUAUAUUUAAUAUAAUUAUAUCGACUAUUUAUUUUGGGUUACAAAACAUGUUAUCUAAUUGUGACAACCCAUUGGACUUCUAAAGCUGAUAACAGUUAUGAAUUUAAUAAGUGGAUACUGAAAUGAUUGGCCUAAAUGAGAUAAUGUGAACCCUAUAAGUUGUUAAUACAUAAGGAACAAUUAUGGUCUCCAAGAAACCAAAUCACAAGUAGUUUUCACCUUUCUCCGUUAGAGAGAAAACAAAGGUCCCAAAAGUAAUUCAGGAUUUGGUUGAGGAAGAUCAUCAUAUCAAAACUCUCUCCAAAGGCAUACAAAAUGAAUAGAUGUGAGAAACAUGGAUUGAUGUAUAGUUUUGUAUCCUUAUUUUAUAUUAUGUUUGAGAAUCAUGAUAAUUAAGAUCUUAGGGUAGGUAUUCCACCAAAGGAAAAUGUGACAAGUGGUUUUAGAGCGUAGAUCCUAAAUUUUAUGAUUCUCUAUUAAAAGUGUUUUUCCAAAUUUUGUAUGAACCCUAAUUUUAAUUUGGCGAUUUUAUGCUUAUGCUAUCAUGUUAUAAAAAUUGAGAAUUUUAUUUUGUGUGAUAAAUGUACACACAUAAUAACAUAAAGUAAUCAUAUGAAUGAUGUUGUUGGUUUGAUUUUUGUUCAUACCUCAAAGAAAUUGUAUGAUGAAGUUAAUGUGAUGAUGAGAACUUAGUCUUCCAAUUUUUUUACCUUGACAUUUAUACGAUUUACAAUAUUACAAAAUGUAUUUUCGUACAUUAUGAUGUUUUAACUAUGUAUCUCAUCCAUCAUAUUUGUGGCUUGCUUAGUGAUUGAUUUAGAAUUUCAUUGAUGCGUUAUUCAUUAAUCAAUAAUAUAUCCAUAUAUAGUUGUAUUAUGCAUAUACGUAUUGCCAAAGGUGGAUCUUAGUUGAAGCAGGUGGGGGCAACUGCCCUUGGAUAUUUUUUUUUCCAAUUUCUUUAAAUAUUUUAUUUUUCAUUUUUCAAAUAUUUUUUUUUUACAUUCUGCAAAUUGUGUAAUCAUUUUAAAAAUUAUAGAUAAAGUUUUUUAUAUGUAGAUCUUAAUAAUGCUUAUAAUAUUUUACUCAAUUUGAGUUCAUAAUUAUUUUACCCUUAUGAAAUAUAUUAUAGGAUUAGAGGUUGUCUUUGUCAAACUUUGCAGCAAAAGUUCUAAGAUUCUAUGGAUUUUAUAUAUCACUUAAUAUUGAUAACAUGUGUAUUUUUGUGCUAAAAUUGUACUUGUGGAUUUCAAUGCGAGUUUAAUAGCAUAUUUACUUGAGAUGUUAAUAAUUUGAAAGUUUUGUUGGUGAUGUCGUUAGAUAUUUAUGUUUGAAAAACUCUCAACCAUAUCUGAAUUAAGUGUAACUUUGAUGAUACAAGAAAAGUGAGUGCAUAUUAUUUGUUUGGUCGAGUUAUUCGUCUUAUUUUAACUAUUCUAGGUUUUUAGUUACUAGAGGAAGAUCAUUUUCAGCAACAAAGACAAUCAAACAAAACUAUGUAGCAAAAUAGAAGGUGAAUUUCUUGUAGACAACAUGAUGUAUUUUAUUGAAAAAUAAAUAGUUUAAAAUUGUACUUUUAAUUCAAUCAUCAUUGAAUUGAAGCAAUUUAACAAUGAGUGACAAUUUAAACGAAUGUACAUUAUUUAACGUCUUUAGUUGUUAAUUAUUGUUAUUUAGAAUUAAUAUGUUACUCUGAAUCUUUAAAAUAAUUAUUUAUAUUUUUAUAUGUUUUGUUCCUCAAUCAAUCUUAAUUAAAAGUUAUAAUUAAAUAUUAUUGUUGCCCCUCUUAAACUUUAGUUAACAUCCAACAUAUUGCAUUUACUAUAUUUAAAUGCCAAAAUAUUUUAUAUACUAUAUAUAUAAAUUUUGGUAUUAUAGGACACAUUUUUACCGUCUAUCUUUGUCCAUGACUCCAACCACAUAAUUUUUUUAUUAAUUUGUCAGCUUGUAUUACACACCUGUUUUUAAUUAUAUAUAUAUAUAUUUAUUUAUUUAUUUAGUUUCUAGUUUAUAUGUACUAGCAUGUUGGCAAUCACUCCGUGUCUAUCGACCUGUAUUUUUACUUUUUAAUAUUGAAUAUUUAAUUUUUAUAUAUUUCAUUUUAGAGAAUUAUAUCACUUUUCAUACAUGAUAUUAUAAUUUUUUGAUAAAAAUAUAAAAAUUAAUUAUGAUAUUAUUAGAAAAUGCAUUGAUAUUUUGAUAUAUUUAGUGAAUGUAACUUCCUCUAACCUUCAUUUAUAUUUUUUAUUGUAUGAAAAAUAUUGUAAUAAUUAUUAAUUAUAAGGCAAAAUAGGUAAGUGAAAAUUAUACAAUGUAGGUAGUUAUUUCAUGUUUUCCCUUUAUAUAUAACUAGUGUGUACAGGCACUUGCCAGUGAAUAUUGUAUGGUACUACGUAUUCAAUUUUAUAUAUUUUAUUUUUUAUUUUUAUGAUAAUGUUCAAUUCAAGGUGAGAUAUGUGGUUAAUUAAUAUGUUGGUUGUGAUUACUUAUAUUAUAUGGUUUUUUUGUAAAAAAUAAAUAAUAAUAAGGGCAAAACAGGAAAAUUACACAUGGUGGAAGUUACACCAUGUUUUCCCCUUAUAUAUAGUAUAGAUAUAGAAGUAUCGAUAUAUGUUUACUGUUUAAGGUUAUUAUACAUUUAGUUAUUGUAUAUAUGAUUUGGAUUUAUAUUGUGUAUCAGAUUUGUUAAUCAUUAAAGUCAUCAAGACUUAAAGAUUUAAUUCUAAAUUGUAAUUCUUUUUACAAUGGACUCAUAUUAAAUUAGAUAAUGCAAUAUGUUGCUAAAAUAGUCUAUAUUGUAGAAAUUAAUUUGAUUAAAAUUGUAUAGAUGUUAGUAUGUGCUAUUUUUUGUGAAUUCUGACCAGCUUAAAGAAAUAUAUAAUUAGGCCAAAUAAUAACGUAUAUAAUGAUAAAUAUGUAACAAUUAUAAAGUUGUAUUUUUCAUUUAAAUAAUAGUCGGUCUAAAGAAAAACUAUUGUUUAUUUGUUAGUAUUUGAUCAUUAUAUUUAUAAUACAUUUUACAAAUUCAUUCCUUAAGUUCUUUUUAUCUCUCCAAAUUCUAUUUUUUUCGGUAAGGCAUAUAAGGAUCCUAUGCUGUUUUGUAAAUCAAUCUGUUAAUUGUCAGCUCCAAAGUAAAAAGUUCAUAUUCUUCAUCUUUUACCAUUUCACAAUCCAAAUAUAUAUAUAUAUAGGUUACUACUUUUGGAAACUAUGUAAAUAAACUAAGAAAGUUGUAUUAAAUUCACCAUCUCUGAAAAAUAUCUCUUCAACAAAACAAAAAAAAAACAAAAGAAAAAUGGCUCGUCUGGCAUGUUGUUUGGUCUUGAUCUCUUUGUGCUUAUGCCGUGUUCUUGAGCCUGCUUUUGCAGCCAAGAAAGGACACAAGACCCUUAAGGUCAAACCCACUAAGCACAUUGCCCCAGCAACUGUACCUUUUCCUUCUGCUAUUCCAAUAGAACAAGCUUUGAUCCAACAACUAUGCCAUGAUACAAGGAAGUUCAAAUUGUGCCGCAAAAUUGUCCAAGGUGAUAGGGUAGCUUUAGAAUCAGUCGCUGAGGCCAAGAUUGCCAUUGAUAUUGCCACAUCCAUGGCAUCAAGGGUUGGUGCAUACAUGUCAACCCAGCUUAAAACAAACCGUGUUAAGGUUCUUUCAAGAGGGUUUGUGAAAGUUUGCAAGUUCAAUUAUGACAAUGCAAUUGUUGACUUGAACCUUUCAUACAUUAACUUUGAAUCCAACACCAAGAAAGCCAUUGAGAGUCUCAAACAAGCUGAGAUUAAGGUUGGAUACUGUGUUAAUUCUUUGAAAUCAGGAAGUAAAAAUUCUGAAAUUCCACCAGUUCAUAAGGCUAACAAAGUGAUUCAGAGUUUGAUAAAGGCAGCAGAAUCUGUUGCUAAGAAACAAACACACUAAGCAACAUAUAGCCAGUAUGUGUGUCCAUUUUGCCUUUUGUUUUGAGAGCUGUAGAACAUGUUUGUGUUUCUCCUUUUCUGAAUUUUGGUUACAGAAACAAGUUCUUUUUUGUACUCUUAUUAAUGUAUUGUAAUCAUAAAACAAUUUUAAUGAAGAGUCACAAUUUCCAAUAAUUAGAUUUUGUCUGUGUUUACAUAGGGUAAUGAUUAUUUGCUUAGAGAUAUAUUUGGUUUUAGUUCCUUAUUUAAUGUUAUCAACAUAAUUUAAGAAAUUAAUAAAUAAUAUAAAAAUAAAAUAUAAUUUGACUAAAGUAUUGUUAAUUUUUCACAUAUUUCUACACAUAAAUUUUCAUCAUAAAGUCAACCCAAACAACAAAUAAGUGAAAAAUAUUUGGGAAUAGAGAUUAUUAAGAGAACGCUUAAGAAAGAUUAUUACAUUGCAAAGUGGAGAAAAAUAGGGAAGAUAAUGUAUCUUCUUAUACCAGGAGAGGAGAUAACUUAUCUCCUCUAGCCAGUAAAAAUGUGACAUGUGUGUUAUUUUGUUUAUUAUUAAAAAUAUUUCUAUAGAUAAUGAUGAAACAUGACACAUGUCAUGAUUUCACUGGUAGGAGGAGAUAAUUUAUCUUCUUAUACUAUGAGAUACUUCAUUCUCUUAUAUUAAAAAAUUCGAAAGAGUAUUAUUAUAUUUACAAAUGAAUAAAAAUUUGAAAUAAAAUUUAUAAAUAAUUAUUAAAUCAGGCAGGAAAAGGCAUUAAAUAAAUAAGGUUGAUGAAUAUAUAUAUAUAUAUAUAUAUAUAUAUAUAUUAUCCCUCAUGCAUGACAUUAUAAGUGAUGCACGUAAGCUUAGGUGUGUUGCUUUGAGUUUUUUGCUUUUAAACUUUGAUUCUGCGCAGUUGUGAAGGCUUACUAGCGUUACUAAAAUGAUUAUCUGGUUGUGUUAAAUAAUGGGUUAAAUUGUCACUGCAAUUUCCAUAACCAUGUUAUAAUGAACUAUUAGUUAUCCCAUUAAAAGCAAAACUUUGAUAUAAUUUCUUUUAACAAAAGGGACAAUCAGAUAACUGGAACUGCUUAAAUUCAAUGUUUAUAACUUCUGUCUUCCUGUGAUGAAUUGAUAAUUAGAAUAAGUUUAAUUAUAUUUGUCAAAGAAUUCUGUAUUUUAAUUUUUAAGUAGUUUGAUAGUCACUGCUGUGACUUUUAGGUUUUAGAAAUCUGUGAUUUUUAAAGAAUUGUGUACUUUAAAUAGUUUGAUACUCACUGCUUUGACUUUUAGCUUUUAGAAAUCUGUGAUUUUUACUAUAAUGAUGUGUAUAUACUGCCUCCUAUUAGUUAUAUCAUAAAAAUAUGUAUGCAGUUAAAAUCAUAAUAUAUUUUGUCUUAGUGUUUAAUAAGUAGGUAUAGAUUAUAAAUUUAAAGAGUAAAUUAUAUUGAUAUUUCCUGAGUUUUAGUAAAAUUAUAUAAAAUACGCCCCCUUUUUAAACGUACAUAAAUUACCCUAAUUAUAUGUAUACAUUAUGUUGAUUACCUCUGCAUGAAAUAUAAGUGAAAUUUCUUAAACAAAAAUUGUGACUAUUCUAAUUAAGUUAAAAAAAAUAUGUAAAUUAUCAAGACAACCCCAAAUAGAAUAAGAGUCAAUGUGUAUUUAUUAUUUUGGUUAGUUAAUAUAGUAUAAGAAAUUUAAACAUUUCCUUAUAAUUAUUAAUGCAGUUUGUAACGAACUGAAAAUAAUUAAUAUAUAUUGACUCUUAUACUAUUUAGAUUUUUCUUCAAAAUAUACCAUAUUUUAUUUGACUUAAUUAUAGUCGUCAAUAUUUUUUCUUUAAGAAAUUACAUUUAUUUAUUUGACUGUGGUAGUCAGUGUAAUGUAUAUAACUAUAAGUAAUUUGUGUAAGUUUAAAAAUGGAAUGAAUAAUUUAUGUAAUUCCACUAAAACUUAGGGCUGUCUAUAUUAAACUUAUACAAAAAAAAAGACUAUAGAUUAAACUGUAAAGUAAUUUAUGAGAGAUCUCUAUACCUUUUGCUACAAUUUUUGUUUAGUAGGUUGAUGUUAGAAAGUAGUAAUUUCUAAUUAAGGUAAUCAUAUAUUUAAUAUAAUUGUAUCGAUUAUUUAUUUUGGGUUAUAAAACAAAUGAUUUAAUUCUGACAACUCAUAGAACUUCUAAAAUUGAUAACACAUAUAAGCUUAAUGUGUGGGUACCCAAAUGGUUGACCUAUAGGGGAUAAUGAGAAUCAUAUAAGUUAAUAUAUAAGGAACGAUUAUGGUCUUAAAGACAACAAAUUACAAUCAGUUUUCACAUUUCCCUAUUAGAGAAAAAACGAAUGUACCAAAUGGAAUUCAAGAUUUGGUUGAGGAAGACCAUCAUACCAAAAAUCUCUCUAAAGACAUACAAAAUAAAUAGAUCUAAGAAACAUGGAUUCAUAUAUGAUUUUGUAUCCUUGUUUUAUAUAUUUUUUUUACAUGGGAAAGGAAAACAAAACUAAGAAGAACUAUCUAAGACUAAUAAAUCCGACAAGACAUUCAAACCUAAAGACCUAAGCGUGAAAGAGCACCCGUCUUUGCCAUAAAUCCACCACGGAGUUGGUUCCCUUUAUAUUAUGUGUAUGAAUCAUGAGAUUCCAGAUUCUAGGAAUGAUAUUACACUAAUCAUAAGGAAAAUUUAACAAUUGGUAUCAGAGCGUAGGUUCUGAAUUUUAUGAUCUCCUUAAAGAUGUCUUUCCAAUUUUUAUAUGAACCCUAAUUUUAAUUUAUGGAUUUUAUGCUUCCGCUAUCGUGAUAUAAAGAUUGAGAAUUUAAGUUGGUUAUUUCCGCUGUAAUGUUUUCGUUUGAGUGUCUUAAUUGUACACACAUAAUGAUAUAAAGUAAUCGUAUGGAUGAUGUUUUUUAUUUUCUUUUUGUUCUUAUCCCAUAAGGAAUUGUAUCAUGAAAUUAAUGUGAUGAUGAGAACUUACAAUUCAAUUUUUUUUACGCUUUCCAUGUAUACGUUUACAUGCUACAAAAUGUACAUAUAUACAUUAUGAUGUUCUAAUUAUAUAUCUCAUUCAUUAUAUAUGUUGUUUGUCCAGUGAUUGAUUUAUAAUUUUGUUGAUGCAUUAUUUAUUGAUUAGUAGUAUACUCAUAAAGUUGUAUUCAUAUAGAUAAUGCAUUUAGUUUAUUUAAAUGCUGAAAUAUAUUAUAGAGUGUGCAUUUUUAGUAUAAAGAUUUAUACACAGUCAAUAAAUUAUCUAUUAUUUAUUUGUAUUAUUUUUUUCUAAAAAGUCAAUAAUGAUUUAAAAUAAAUGAAGUAUGAUGAGCCAUAAUAUAUAAAACUCUUAUACUGUCAAUAUAUUUUCUCUAUUUUAUAUACUAUAUAUAUUUUGCUAUUAUAAGGCACAUAUAAUGUCUACCUUGUUAUAACUUCAAGCACAUAAAUUUUUAUUAAUUUGCCUCCUUAUCACAAGUUCAGUGUGAUUUACUCAUGUUUUUAAUGUAGCUACUUUACUGAAGUUAUAUAUAUAUAUAUAUAUAUAUAUAUCUUCAAUGCCCAGAAAAUCUCUUCUUUUCCUUUAUUAGAUUUAGUUCAAGUUAUAUCUUGGUAUUCGUGUUCUUCUUUUGUAGAUAAAUUGGUGUUUUAAUUCCUAGAUUGUUUAAAAAAAGUUACUUUUUAUAGUUUGGAUUUAUAUUGUGAUUAAAUCUUAAAAUUUUAAUUCUAAUUUGUAUUUUUUUAUAAUGUACUCAUAUUAUUUUUUUGUCUAGUAUGUUUUUGAUUAAAUUCAAUGAUAUGAUAUGUUGCCAAAGUAAUUUCUACUUUGAUUAAAAUUAUAUAUAUACUAGUAUGUGACUAUUUAUGAGAAUUGUGAUCAGCCUAAAAGAAGAUAUAAUUUGGCCAAAUAAUAACAUUUAUAUGAUGAUAAAUAUGUAAUAAUUAUAAAGUUAUAUUUUUCAUCUAAAUAAUAUUCGGUCUAAAAAAGACUAUUGUUUGACAAAACUAAUUAUUAAUAUUUAUCAUUACAUUGAAAAUUCAUUUCUUCAAUUCUUUUUAUCUGUCCAAAUUAUAUUUUUUUUCUAAGCCAUGGAAGAUCCUAUGCCGAUUUAGUAAAUCAAUCUGUUAAUUGUGAGCUUCAAAUUAAAAAGUGCCUAUAAUUUAUCUUUGACUGUUUCACAAUCCAAAUAUGUAUCUAUUUUGAGGUUACUACUUUUGGAAACAAGCAUAUAAAUAAGCGAAGAAACUUGUGCUAAAUUCACCAUCUCUCAACAUUAUAUCUUCAACAACAACAAAAAAAGAACAAAAGAAAAAUGGCUCGCCUGGCAUGUUGUUUGGUCUUGAUCUCUUUGUGCUUAUGCCUUGUUCUUGAGCCUGCUUUUGCAGCCAAGAAAGGACACAAGACCCGUAAGGUCAAAUCCGCCAAGCACAUUGCCCCAGCAAGUGCACCUUUUCCUUCUGCUAUUCAAACAGAACAAGCUUUGAUCCAACAACUAUGCCAGGAUACAAGGAAAUCCAAAUUGUGCCGCAAAAUUGUCCAAGGUGAAAGGGUAGCUUUAGAACCAGUCGCUGAGGCCAAGAUUGCCAUUGAUAUUGCCACAUCCAUGGCAUCAAGGGUUGGUGCAUACAUGUCAACCCAACUUAAAACAAACCGUGUUAAGAUUCUUUCAAGAGGGUUUGUGAAAGUUUGCAAGUUCAAUUAUGACAAUGCAAUUGUUGACUUGAACCUUUCAUACAUUAACUUUGAAUCCAACACCAAGAAAGCCAUUGAGAGUCUCAAACAAGCUGAGAUUAAGAUUGGAUUCUGUGUUAAUUCUUUGAAAUCAGCAAGUAAAAAUGCUGAAAUUCCACCAGUUCAUGAAGCCAACAAAGUGAUUCAGAGUUUGAUAAAGGCAGCAGAAUUUGUUGCUAAGAAACAAACACACUAAGCAACAUAUAGCCAGUAUGUGUGUCCAUUUUGCCUUUUGUUUGAGAGAUGUGGAACAUGUUUGUGUUUCUCUUUUUCUGAAUUUUGGUUACAAAAAUAAGUUCUAUUUUUGUACUCUUAUUAAUGUAUUGUUAUCACAAAACAAUUUUAAUGAAGGGUCACAGUUUUCAAU
rnacentral:lncRNA from 1 species